AUUGAACGCUGGCGGCAGGCCUAACACAUGCAAGUCGAACGGUAACAGGAAGCAGCUUGCUGCUUCGCUGACGAGUGGCGGACGGGUGAGUCAUGUCUGGGAAACUGCCUGAUGGAGGGGGAUAACUACUGGAAACGGUAGCUAAUACCGCAUAACGUCGCAAGACCAAAGAGGGGGACCUUAGGGCCUCUUGCCAUCGGAUGUGCCCAGAUGGGAUUAGCUAGUAGGUGGGGUAACGGCUCACCUAGGCGACGAUCCCUAACUGGUCUGAGAGGAUGACCAGCCACACUGGAACUGAGACACGGUCCAGACUCCUACGGGAGGCAGCAGUGGGGAAUAUUGCACAAAGGGCGCAAGCCUGAUGCAGCCAUGCCGCGUGUAUGAAGAAGGCCUUCGGGUUGUAAAGUACUUUCAGCGGGGAGGAAGGGAGUAAAGUUAAUACCUUUGCUCAUUGACGUUACCCGCAGAAGAAGCACCGGCUAACUCCGUG
rnacentral:rRNA from 1 species